UCUGCCCAUUUCUUAUUAAUCCCUGGAAUGAAAGUGUUGAAUAUAAGAAGAGGAAACUCAUGUACAAAUGAGCAAAUUUCAGAACAAAUGAAAACUUGAAGUUAAUGUUUAGAAGUAAAGAAAAGUUGACAGAUAUUCCUGCUUUGCCUAGUCUUCUUUUAUCCUGAAUUAAUUACUUGGGCCUAGACCUCUGCUGUCAAGAGUCGGUUUCAUUCCACCUUUGUUAAGGUCUGGUUUAGGAUUAUGUUAAUGGCAACUGGACCAAAUCUCUGUCAGGUCUACAAGGACCAUAACUGACCUUCAUAUUCAAAGGAAAUAAAACAAACCAUGCUGUCAUCCAUCUAUGACCUCCAAUGGUGAGAUUCAGCUAUGCAUUCAACUGUCAUAGGGCCUCUCUUUUUAUAUUUCAAGGACUCAAUUCAACCUUCUGAACUGUCCAGGACUCCUUCCAUUUCCUGCUAGUCAUAUAUUUUGAAUCAUCACAAAGCCAUUUUUAAAAAAUCAUGAACAAAAGCAAAAUUAAAGCUGCAUUAAUACAUAAUG